rnacentral:lncRNA from 1 species
ACGAUCUCGGCUCACCGCAACCUCCACCUCCCAGUUCAAGCGAUUCUCCUGCCUCAGCCUCCCGAGUAGCUGGGAUUACAGGCGCCCGCCACCACGCCCGGCUAAUUUUUUGUAUUUUUAGUAGUAGAGACGGGGUUUCACCGUGUUGGCCAGGAUGGUCUCGAUCUCCUGACCUUGUGAUCCACCCACCUCGGCCUCCCAAAGUGCUGGGAU